UAUUGCUCUUUGCCAUCAUCCUGGAAGCCCACCUCAUGCUUCUUCCGACUCACACUGCCCUCCCUUUGUCCUAGUGGAUUCCACUAUCCUGACUUUAUGGUAACCAUGCUUUUCUUUUUUAUAAUUUUUCCAUGUACAUACUCACCCUUGAACAAUACAGUAUUGCUUAAUUCUGAUUUUUUAUAAAUAGAACCUUACUGUAUGUUUUUUAAAAAUGUGUGUCUUAACAUUAUGUUUGAGAAAUUCAUGCAUAUAUUUAUAUGCAAUGGUGGUCUGCUACAUUUUCAUUUUGGUAUAGUUGUCCAUUGUACGAAGUUAUCACAAUAUAUUAUCCAUUCUGCUGUUAAUGAACAUUUGAGUAAUUUCCAUUUGGGGAUUACAAGAAUCAUGUUUCUAUGAAUAGGCAUUUUGUUCCACCUAGGAAUAGAAUUGCUGAGUUCUAGCGUAUGCCUAUCUUCAAUUACAGUAUGUAGUGCCAACCUGUUUUCCAAAGUGGUCGCACCAGAAUUAUACCCCUACUCUCAUUAUGAGAGUUCCUGUUGCUUCACAUCCUCUCCCACACUUGGAUUCAUCAGUUCAAGCUGUACACAUUCGUACAUUUUUGUAUCUCUUGUAUAUUUGUCAUUCUUCCUACUUUUGCACUUCUUGUACAUUCUGUUGGGUAUAUAGUGAUGUCGCAGUGAUUUUAAUUUGCAUCUCUCUGAUAUUGAAUGGGGCUGAGCUCCUCCUGUGAAUUUCUUGUUCAAGACUCUUGCCAUUUUUCUACUGGAAUGUUUGUUUCUUGCCAUUUUGUAGGAGUUCUUUUUGUAUUUUGGAUAUGAUCCCAUCAUCAGUUGUAUGUGUUGCAAAGAUCUUCUCCCUCUCGGUGGUUUGCCUUUCCAACUUUUUUUUUUUUUUUUUUUUUGCGGUACGCGGCCCUCUCACUGUUGUGGCCUCUUCCAUUGCGGAGCACAGGCUCCGGACGCGCAGGCUCAGCGGCCAUGGCUCACGGGCCCAGCCGCUCCGCGGCACGUGCGAUCUUCCCGGACCGGGGCACGAACCUGUGUCCCCUGCAUCGGCAGGCGGACUCUCAAUCAUUGCGCCACUAGGGAAGCCCCUUUCCAACUUUUAAAUGGUUGUUUUUGGUGAAAAUGUUCUUAAUUUAACGGGGUCUGAAUAGCGAUCUUUCCCUUAUUUGUUACUGCUUUUCGUGUCCUGAUAAGGAAAUUUUCUCCUACACUGGACCCAUGAAGACAGUCUCCCAUAUUAUCUUCUAGAAGCUUUAGUGUUUUCUUUUACAUUCAGGUAUAGAAUACACCUGGAGUUGAUUUUUGUAUGAAGUGUGAAGUAAGUGUUGUUUAACAACCCCCUCCUGUACAGAUAUCCAAUAUUCCAGUUUUAUUUAUCAAAAUAUUGUCCCUUUCCCACUCUUUUAUAGAGCCACAUUUGUUAAAUUGUGUGUGUGUGUCUCUGUGUGUAUGUGUGUGUGUGUGUGCACAUUGCAAGGUAUAUGGAUUCUCUGUUCUGUUCUUUGGAUCUAUUUGUUCAAACCUGUGUCAAAACACUGUUUUAAUUACUGUGCUUUUAUAACAAAUCUUGAUGUUAAGUAGAGUGUGUUCCCCCAACUUCUUCUUGAACAUCUUGGCUAUUGUGUUAAUUUAGGUUCUCCAAGAAGGUAUUAAAAAUUAAUAAAUAACUUUUAUUAAGGGAAAUGUUUAUAUGAGAGAAAAUAGGGAGGGAGCUUGCUAAGGCUGGGAGAACUGUCAGACUAUGACACAAGUCUGAUUCCAAGUAAAGCGAAGAGAAGAUUGGGAGGAAUCUUUCUAGGCUACUGUGCAGUCAAAGAAAGUCUUGACCAGAUUAUUGGGGAUUCCUAGAGCCAAAGGUGUGCCUCAGAAGGGUCCUGUGUCUCCCAAGAAUAGGUCUGCUUUGGUAUCCCUGAAUGCAUUCACUGAUUGGCUGGGACAAGCCCGCGAGAGGUGUGGCCUCAGCACAAACUUGGUGAUGAAUCUCCAAACAGUAGCUGGGGCCUUUGGUCAAUUACUCUCCCUAUAGUUGGAGGUCUCUAAGAUACAGUCAUGACUAAUACAGUCUACCCUUGUGGUGGGCAGAUCUACUUCUCCAGACAGGUUUAGAAAACAGCUCCUAUAAGUUUCCCUAUUAAGAUUUGAUCAAGAUUACAUUAAAUCUGUGGAUCAGUUUGGGAAGAAUUAUCUUUCAAAUAUAGGUCUCCCAAUUCAUGAACCUGGUAUACAGCUUUGUUGCUUUGCAUCUUCUUAUAUUUAUCUUCGUAGUGUUUCAUCGUGUUCUGCAAGGUCUUUUAGUUUGUUAGAUUAAUUCCUAGAUAUUUGAUAUUUUCCCCUAUUUGUUGCUAGUAUAUACAAAUGCAAUUGAUUCUUGUAUAUUGAUCUUUUAUUGAGCAACUUUGCUAACAACUCAUUAUUAAUUCUGACCACUUAUUUGCACAUUAUUUUGGAUUUUCUCUGUAUACAAUCAAAUAAUCUGUUCCUGGUUUUUUUUAUCUCUUCUCUUUUAAUCAUUAUGCCUCUUAUCUCUUCUUCUUGCCUUAUUGCACUGGCUACUUCCUGUACAGUGUUGAAUAGAAACGGACAUAUUUGUCUUGUUCCGAAUCUCAAAAGGCCAACUUUCCACAUUUUACUAGUAAAUUACAUUAUGUUGUAUACUUCUUGUUUACUUCCCCAGAUUCAUUCUCCACACUUUUCCCUCUGCAUUGUGCCCUGGGGGGCAACUUACAGAGAAUCAAUGGUCUCCAUUGCCCUUUCGCUUUAGAUUGGUUGUGGCCAAUCUAAAGACACUGAUGUGAGAUAGGGUAGGGAGGGAGGAGAACUGAAUUGUGGUAUUUAUACCCCAUACUACCUCACUUCCAUGUCAUGUAGAUUAGGUGUGUCCUACCAAAGGCCACAGCUUAUAUCAUGUAGCCUUCUCCCUACAGCCACUUUUUCCAUUUUAUUUAUUUAUUUAUUUUUGUGAUACGUGGGCCUCUCACUGUUGUGGCCUCUCCCGUUGCGGAGCACAGGCUCCAGACGCGCAGGCUCAGCGGCCAUGGCUCACGGGCCCAGCUGCUCCGCGGCAUGUGGGAUCUUCCCGGACCGUGGCAUGAACCCGUGUCCCCUGCAUUGGCAGGCGGACUCUCAACCACUGCGCCACCAGGGAAGCCCCCACUUUUUCCAUUUUAUAGUAAUUGCUCUGUUCUAUUCCCUCUUCAGGUCCUUUCACCCAUUUACUAGCCCGAGAUGAUACAUUAUCCAUUGUUAGUUUGUUUAAAUUCUAUGCCACCUAUGUAAACAGUUACUGUAUAAAACACUCUUCAGGACUUCUCUGGCGGUCCAGUGGUUAAGAUUCUGUGUUUCUGCUGCAGGGUACACGGGUUCAGUCCCUGGUCGGGGAACUGAGAUCCUGCAUGCCUCGAGGUGUGGCCAAAAAAUAAAAAACACUAACUCUUCAAGUCACCCCAUCCGAGGGUGCCGUUUGCUUUCUGCUGGGUGUCCAGAGCAAUUGAAGUUUACUGUACAUUGUUAUGUAGAUUGCCUUUAUCAGAUAAGGGAGUUUCCUUCUAUUUCUUUUUGGCUGAGGUUUUUUUUAUAAUGUGUCAAUCGAUGUUGGAUCUUCUUAAAUGCUUCUUGUGAAUCUAUUGAGAUGAUAACAAGAUUUUUAUCCUUUUUUUUCUUAAUGUAGUAUAUGGCACAAUAUUAAAUCAUCUUCGUAUUCUUGGAAUAAACUCAAUGUGGUCAUGGUAUAUUAUCCUUUUUAUAUACUGUUGAAAUUAACUUGCUAAUAUUUUAUUAAUGAAUGUUGCAUUAAUAUAAUAUUAAAUCUCAAGAACAAGAUUUGGCCUGUAGUUUUCCUUUCUCAUACUGUUUUUUGGUCAGUUUUGAUAUCAAUAUUUUAUAGGCUUCAUAAUAUGAAUUAGAUUAUGUUUCUUUUUUUCUAAUAUCUGGAAAAAUGUGUAAAGAUCAGUGUUAUUUCUUUCUUUUUUUAAAAUUUUUAUUUUGUUGUUGUUGUUUAUUUAUUUAUUUAUUGGCCAUGCCAUGCAGCUUGUGGGAUCUUAGUUCCCUGAUCAGGGAUGGAACCUGGGCCCUCGGCAGUGAAAGCGCGGAGUCGUAACCACUGGACCACCAGGGAAUUCCCCAGCGUUAUUUCUUUUUAAAUCGAUGGUUAAACUCUACGUGGAAGGCAAAUGAACCAGAAAACUAAGCAGUUCAAAUUUAUUUGCACUUAAUAACAUAGCCUCAGAUAAAUAAGUUAAAAAUUGACAAAAAGGGAAAAAAUGACAAAGACAUUACUGUAUUUCUCUAAUAGAUAUGGACUUUUAAAGAAAAGCAUAGCUGUGAAAUCAUCAUACCCAGCUAUACUAACACUAGUUCCUUAUUGUCAUCUGCUACCUUGUCCAAUUUAAGCUAAUUGUGGUUUGUCUUGGUUUUAUCAUCAUCUGCCUGAACUUCUCACUUGGUUGUUGAACUAAGUAAGAAGGGGCUACAGUGGGUGCAAACGACCCCUAAGGCUCCAUCUUAAUACCAGUUGCCUAAAUUGGCUAAGGUUCCCCUUCACACGCUGGUCUCAGCCCCUUUUCUUGCCUCUAGACCCUUCACGUGAGUGACACUCCCCCGCAAAUGACAACUCUCUUGAGACAUAGUAAUUCUCACCCGGGGAAGACAGGCACAGCCCAGCAGGGGUGGGGGAGGAAGAGGACCGGGGAGGAUCAGCGGAUCUCUCUGCUAGAGACGGGGACCUCCCUCCACCCCCUCCCCACCCCUAGGAAAUCACUGCUCGACCCAGCCUUUCCCAGAGUGUGGACUGAGUGACACAGGUAGUACACAAGAUGGUUCUAGAUGGGACACAGGCAUGGCCCUGAUAAUAGCGUCUCACAGCGCGAGAUAGUUAUUCCCCUUUCCACUCUCCUCAGUACUUCUGAACACAGUAAGAAGAAAGUCUCAUUUGGUGUUUAUAAGUUUUCAAAACUGCUCUAACCUUUGUUCAUUUCUGUCUCUGGCAAAGAGAAAACUGGGCUUCAGGCAGGCAGUGUCUGGUUAAUAAUAUCUAAUAAAUUGUUUGAUUUUCUUUGUGCUUGUUUUUCCAGUUAUCUCCUAAGUCGCAGCUAACACCAACUUACAAGCAUUGUUGUGAAUUGAUCCUCACCAACAACCCUAUGAGAGAGGUUCUAGGCCCCCAUUUUUCAGUUACAGAAACUGCAGUUCGGAGAAUUUUAGUAAAUACCCAAAGAGUCACAGGGAGGAAAGGGCCGAGCUUGAAUUCAAUCCAGAACCCAUGUUCUUAGCAGCUACUCCAUACCAUCUCCUUUGGGACAGUGAUGCUGUUCCCUUUAAAAAUUCUUCAAGUUAAAGUGAACCAAUUUAAAUAUUAAUUCUUAAGUAAAGAGUUAGAAAGUAGAGGUACUAGUUGAAUAGGGCAAAAAUUGAGACAGAAAUCCUGGGAAGAUCCAAGUUUGGAAAGCACCAGCUUAGCCCAGGCUCCACCAUCCUGUCCCAAGGGCUACAAGUCUCUGGCUCUGGUCUGGGUCACAGCCAGGACUCAGUGCAGAGCUGGCUGGGCUGCAGGGAGAAAGCAGGGGCCCAUCCUGGUCCCCAUUUAAAAGUUGUUGCAGGGUAGCCCGUCCUGGAUAUGGGCUGACGUAUCCUUUUAUCUCUUUUGUAUUUUUCACCAUGAAAUUGUAUAAUAUGAUGGGAUAUGAUGUGACACUAUGUGAUAAUAUAAUACAAUAACAUAAACCAGGGCUUUUCCUAGCAAACCUAGCCUAAUGGUGAUUGUGAGGCUGAAUGAGUUAAUACAUGUCAAGCAUUUAGAACAGGGCCUGGCACUACAUAUGUGCACUUAGAAGGAUGUUUGGCGGGAGGAUGGUUAAAGGAGGAUGAGAAUGGGCUGAGGGCUGGGGACUAGGGGCUCUCUGGGUCCCAGAGGAAGCAAAUCCUUAAUGAGCUCCUACCGGUGGCAGCUCCACAAUUGAUCUGUCUGAUGUGUUUCAGGACUUGCUUGGUUUCAGGUGGUUGCACAGACCUGCAAGGGCCAGCUGGGGAAACGCCGAAACAGUCUGCCCUGGCGCCUGAAGAAGCAGCGUCUGAUGGGGCUGCCACGCACCACCAGAUGCAGGAUUCCACCUCCAGAGGAGUGGAACAUGAAUGGGUUCCUGUAUCAACAUUCAUCAGAUGCCUAUCCUGUGUUGAGAGCUGCACUAAGCUGGCUGCCCAAUCAAGGAGUAUGUGUCGUUUCUGGAGAUGGGUACCAUCCGGCAGAAGUGGUCUCUUAAAGCUGGAAGAGGGACUUCCCUGGUGGCACAGUGGUUAAGAAUCUGCCUGGCAAUGCAGGGUUCAAUCCCUGGUCCGGGAAGAUCCCACAUGCCGCAGAGCAACUAAGCCCGUGAGCCACAACUACUAAGCCUGGGCUCUAGAGCUGCGUGCCACAACUAUUGAGCCCAUGAGCCACAACUACUGAGCCCGUGAGCUACAACUACUGAGCCCACGUGCCACAACUACUGAAGCCCGUGCACCUAGAGCCUGUGCUCCGCAACAAGAGAAGCCACUGCAAUGAAAAGCCCACGCACCGCAACAAGUAGCCCCUGCUCGCCGCAACUAGAGAAAGCCCGCGUGCAGCAAUGAAGACCCAACACAACCAAAAAUAAAAAGGAAAUUAAAAAAAAAAAAAAAGUCAGGAAGAGAUGGAUUCUUCUAUACCUCUGAAUGAGUCAGCCUAAGACCAAGAGGACGGAAUUAGGCAGGAGCCCAGGCUGCCCAGUAAGACCAGGUGCUGGGAGGCGGGAUGUGUUUCCAUUCACCUGCUGGGCCCUUAUCUUCUGCAGAGCUCUGCAGGGUGCCCACAGACCUGCCAGUGGUUCAAGAGCAAGGCCUUGCAUAGAAUGAACAUGGGCAUGGCAGUUACUAGUUAUCUGACUCUGCACAAAUCAUUUAUCCCUCUGGGCCUCAGCUUCCCCAUCUGUAAAAUGCAGUUUGUUAUAGUACCUCCCUUCCAGGGUGGCUGUGUGGACCAAAUUAGAUAAGGCAGGAAGUGCCUGGCACUGAGCAGGUGAUCAGUCAGUGACAGAGUCAUCUGUUAUCAGAUCACUGCUAUCAGCAGUGUCAUCUCCGCUGUACUGAGGGCAGCUGGGCUCUAGAGCUUAUUGGACAGGUUACCCCAGGACACAGGCUGCUAAAGGACAGAGCCCUAUUUUGAAGCCCCAGUGCCCCCUACACUAGGUACUGUGUUCCAGGUAUGAGGUGAUGUCCAGCCUAGGGGUCCUCUGAACUGACCACGAAAUGAGACAAAGAAGUUCAGGACCCAGAGGGUAGCCUGGGACCCCUGUAUGCUCAGAUAGACAAGGAUUUGUUUUGUUUGUUUUAUGUCACCCCUGUGGACAAAAAUGUGGCCAAAGCGUUCAUUUGGGCGUGGGCAGGGGAUUAGUAAACUGAUGAAGAGGGACUUUGCACCUUCGUGGCUAAAGGUAAUCAUAUAGGUUUUAAAUGAGGUGUUCCUUGAAUUUCCAUAUGUAUGUUAGAUGCACAGAGGCUCAGGAAAAAGUCUUUUAUAGGGUGAGACCUACACUGACGGUUCAGCAUGAGGCUCUGGAAUCGCACUGCCUGGGUUCAAAUCCUGGCUCCACCACCUACGAGCCAAGCUGGGCGGCUUUCUGGCAGGCGUCAGCCUCCUCAUGUGUAAGACGGUGAUGAUAGCGCGUCUGUUUCGCAAGCCUCUUCAAUCCAGACGAGGCUUAAUUGAGGCUGUGCUGUAUAAUGCACUCAGCACAGGGGCUGGCAAACGGGAGCUGCUCCAUAACGAUCGCUAUGACCAUAUUUAAGACACAGAAUCUCGCUUAAACUCAUAAGGUAUUAUCUUUGCAGGCCAAAUAUCAACAACUUGUUCUCCCUGGUUGUGGACGUGACCGAUAGCUCAGUCUGGAGCCCUGGUGUCUAAGCUCCUAGAUGCCUAUUACCUUCUAGAACCCAGCCCCUGCCUCUGUGUGUCUUUAUAUCCCCCAGUCUCCACCCCCUCCCAUCCUGCCCCAGGCCCAGUGCUUAGCACAGUGGGGGUCUCCAUAAUGCCUGCUCUCUGGAGCUGAGUAUGCCAUCCAUCAACUGGGGGAGGUGUUCCAGAGGACCAGCACAGGGACAGUGCCUGAGCCUGGGGCCAAGGAAAAUGAAGCCAAGGAGGACCCUGUCAGACAGACACCUGGCUGUGACUUCAGCAGUGCCCUUUGCUGAUUAAAACUGGUGCUUUCAGGGAACUUACCAGGCACGUCCCAUAAUCGAUGGCAUGCGAAUAGCACACAGGAAGACUUAAUACAGCUGACAUGGGUAGGUCAUUCAGUCCCUUCUGACUCAAUUCUCAUCUCAAAAAAAUAAGAAUAAAAAAUACCCGCCCCUUUAAGGUUUUGUAAAGACUCUCUCUCUCUCUCUCUCUGUCUCUCUCUCUCUCUGUCUCUCUCUCUCUCUGUCUCUCUCUGUUUCUCUCUGUCUCUCUGUCUCUGUUUCUCUCUCUCUCUCUGUCUCUGUUUCUCUCUGUCUCUCUCUGUCUCUCUCUCUCUGUCUCUCUCUUUGUUUCUCUCUCUCUGUCUCUGUCUCUGUUUCUCUCUCUGUCUCUCUUUGUUUCUCUCUCUCUCUCUGUCUCUCUCUGUCUCUCUGUCUCUGUCUGUCUCUCACGCGCGCACGUGUGCACACGGUUUACUAGCGAUGAAUUUUCCAUCUUCCAUCCUGACAGGCUGGUGGGAAGAUAGGAGAGCCCAGAAGUCCCUUUUCCCUAUGUCAAUUCGAUCCUGUAAAGCUCCCCUCUUGACCGCAGCCUCCAGAAAGAAGGGGUCGGCAUGCUGCUUGCUGGGCGAAAGGAGAUGGCUCAUUAAGUAUGGUGGUGACGAUCCUAGUGAUGUCAGGAACGUGGGAGAUUCAUGAGCUAAAGAUAUGGAAAAAGAGGCUCAGAGAAGUUAAGCGACUGGCUCAAGGUUGCUCAGCCAAUACAUGGCAGAGCAGGAUCCUGUCAUAGCCUUCUGGUUCUUUCCAUUGAGCUGUUCUGCUGCUUAGUUGACCGUCCCUUGGGAAGCAGCUCUGGAGAUCUUCCGUCUUGAUAAUGAAACGUGACUUUUAAAAAAGCUGUCAGCACAGGGGGAAGAAGGGAGUGAGUGAGGGAAGUUGUGCCCCCCCCGCCAGAAGUUGCUGCUGAUUUUGCCCCUGCCAGCAAAGGGUAGGUUGUGUGGGUGUCUGGGAAUGUGGGGUAGGGCUGAGGGUGGUGAGGCUGGUGGGUGAGAGGGGUGGCAGCCUGGGCAGUUCUCAACUCAUUACCCAGAUGAGCUGCCAUGUCUUGGAGCCCGGAGAGCGAUGCUACGUUGGCCCCUUGGGUUGGUGGUUCUAUGGAGGGUAAUGCAGACCUCUGGGCGCUGGCCACCAGCCCACCCUGCACACACAGUCCUGUUCUAGCCCCGCUGGGAUGGCGCAGAGGAGAGAGGAAGUGCACCCAGUUCUUACUCUCAGGGGCCCAUGUUCUGAAGAGAGAGAAAUAACGUAGCGCCUACUAUGUGCCCGGCCAGAGGCGGGCCACCUCACCUCCACCACAUUUCACUUAGUCCUCGCCGCAAAUCAGGAGUGAGCUGUAAGGAUGUCCAUGAACAGAGUCUCAGGGAGUGAGGGUUACAAGUUCCCCCCCGCACACCAGUGUCAGAGCUGGAAUUCCAGCCCUGGGUCUGCAGCGCCUGUGCUCUUUCGUGGCACCUUGCUGAGUUCGCUAAUGCAGACAGAGAAAUCCACGGUGGCAGCGCUGGGUCCCACCGGGGGACGGAAUCAGGGAGGUUUGUCCGGAAGGCGAACUGGAGGAGCAUGCAUGGCCUUGGGGAAAGGCAGAAAGGAGGCUGCAGCAGGCUCUGAGCAGGAUGGGUAAACAGUUUGGUCUGGCAGGAAAGGAGAGCUGAGAGGGAUUAAGCCCAGGCUCUGUGUUAGAGGGUGAUUUCUGAGUCAGCAAUCCUGAAGGCCACGUUCCCUGAAUGCCGACCUUGGCAAAAUGGUUAAUUAGCUACUUUUUCAUCCCCUUCCUGGGCCCAGACUGGCUUCGGAUCCCAUGAGGCCUUUGUCCUGCCCCGGUGCUGACUUGGAGACAGCGCUGCUGGUGGCUUUUUCCUUCCCUGGCCUGGUACAAGGCCUCCUGGUGUCAUUGACUCCCCUCUAACCGCGCAAAGUAGAGCAGCGAUCCCGAGUGGUGGCCCGCCUUUGGGCGACUCGAUUUCACUAUCAGGAUGGAAAAUCUUCAGGCGUUAUUAUUUUCCAAAGGGCUGGCCACCUCCCGCCCCCAUCUCCAUUAGUGGCUCCCUAAACGCCAUCCAAUAUCCUGGUGAAGAUUGCUUUGAAACCAAAUCUGGUGUCCCCCCGCCUCGCCUUAAUCCCUGUAAGCCUCCUGCCCAUCGCUGAGAGCUGACCCAGCACUGGCCCCCUGCGGCUAGAUCCUAAAAUGACUUGGCUUGGGAGGUGGGGCAGAAUGAAAGUGGAGGCUCACACUUAUGGGAUGAACAAAGAGGGAUGAAAUCUGAGGCUACUGACCUUAGGGAUUUGGCUCUCCUUAAGCUGUACGGAACAAGUGAUCCGCAACUAUGGACGCCCUCAGCAAGCAUGAAGAGCACCCCGUCAAGGGUGAAACUGAUACAGAAGAGUCCUGCCGAAUUGGAAGAUGGGGUUCUAAGCUAUAAAACAAGAUUGCAGGAGCCAGUUCCCCUUAAGCUUUCCUGAGGGCAAGGGCCUCAUUAGCUUCCUAGCCCCUGUCUGUUUUACCCCCAACUCUUUAAUCUACCCCAGAGAACGAGGACACCAGAGUAGCGCCAUGGAGACCUGUCGCGUUUCUCAUCAAGAUUUACACACGCGUCCUCCUCUCUCUCUCUCAUCCCUUCUCUUUCCCUCUGCUCACAGAAGACCAUCCUCCCUGCUUCUACCCCCUGCCUGACCCAUUCCUCUAGGCUAAACCCAAUGUCUACUUCUCCCCUAGGUCUCCCCCGAUGCACUCUCCCUUCUGUUCUCAGAACGCCAGGAACAUUUGGAAUAUGAUUUUACCCUCCUGCUCUCCUGCUGCUGCCACUCUUUUUGCUCCUUGUUCUGCGGGCACUGAGCAUUUCUCUCUAACUCAAUUACAAACUCCAUGAGGACAUGUGUUCUCCUUCUCUGUUAUCCCCCUGUGCCUACGUCAGGCUUGGCACUUGAUUGAGAAUUUUGAACACUUGAUUGAGAAUACUUGGUACACUGAAUACUUGCUUGAGAAUUUUGGUUUCCUAUCUCAAGAAAUCAUCCCUAGUUGCUUAAAACAAACAAACAAACCCAAAGAAGGCGAAAUAGAAGGAAUGUAAUCAGGAAGUGUUUAGAUAUUUUUCACGAGAUGUUCUAAGAGUGCCUGCCUCUGUGUACGUGUGGGCGUGCUUGCCCUCAAAGAUAUACGUGCGGUUCUCUGGAUCCAAGGCAAAAUUAGGCUCAUUGAGAAGAUGCUUGCUGACCGCCUGCAUACGGAUGCGCCCUCACAGUCCUGAAAGUGUCCUCGCUUGAGAUGCUUUUCUUUGCAUGUGUAACAAGCUCACAGUAACGACAGGGGGCUGAGGCUGGAAUGCGUAAUGAGCUGAGGAUUAAGAAACGAUGUGACAGCAUCUCGCAGAUUGUAAUGAACGCACGGCCUCUAUUAUGUCCUAUCAGAGCCUAGUCUUCUUGCUGACAAGUAAUUCCCCCAAAUAAUCACUUGUCUUUCAACAUCGUGAUGCGAGGACUAAUUGUGAAGAACUCUCGCCUAGAAAGGCUACUGGAGCAAUUUAGGGGCAAUUACAUGGGGCCCGUGGCUGCUGGGCACAAUUACCUGGACUUGAAUAUGUGGUGAGUGAGACCAAGCAAGGGGAAUGAGGCCUUGGCCAGGCAUUAAGAUGGCAUCUUCCCAAAGCUGCUGGCUUCCUAGUGGGUUUUCUCAGAAUUAACAUGAUGCCCUAGAGUAGAAGAAUCAGGCUCUCAUCAGGAGGAUUUGAAAGGACUUGAAUCAUUUUUUUUUUUCUUAGAUGAUAGUAGUCUGUAGAAAAAUUAGAAAAUAUAGGUAAACAACAAAACCACUACCAACAUCUUGGUUAGUGUACUCAUCAUCAUCACCAGUACCACCACCACCAUCAUCUUCAUUGUCAUCAAAGUUGUUACCA